AAGGGCUCUUUGUGCUCCGGCCGGAGCGCGGCGGUGCCGGAUGCAGCCCCGGGAGCGAAGCCAAGGCCGGGGCCCCGCCAGGGCUGUCCCGGGGCCGCGCUGGCCCCGCUCCCGGCUCACCCCGCGGGCUGACCCCGAUCCCCGGCACAGGUGCUGUCCAAAGCCCCGAACCCCGCRGACCCCGCGGCCCCGCCGGACACGCAGGUGACCGUGCAGCUCUUCGACUCGGAGCCGCUGGCGCUGACCGUGCCCGGGGACAUCCCGUGGGACGAUCCCAAAUUCAUGGAGAUCGUGGCCGAGCAGGCGCUCCGGCACUACAAGGAGAACGCCAUAGAGUAGCUGGACAAUCCCGCUGCCGCCGCCCCUCCGGAUCCCAUUCUAGARCGGAGCUGUCACCAUCGCUGUCACCUCCCCCCACCCCCUUUCCCGCUGCCGGGACCCCCUCCCCGAAAAUAAAGGUAGAGUUGAACCCCCUG